ensembl:lncRNA
CUACGACUUGGAAGUUCAGAAAGAGCGGCUAUAAUGUGCAUAUUAUAGUUCGACCGGAGCAGUUGUACAUAAUAACAAUAAUAAUAAUAAUAAAUGUUCUUGCAUAUGAACCCUACUUCAAGUUGGCCAAUCAACUACUUCAGCAGUGUUACAUCAAUGCAUGCGACGAUCCCAUGCACCAGUGCAUUUCUCGAUUUCCAAACACGUGUAAGUAUUGCACUCAGUCUAGAAUUAGACAUAUUAUAUCUUUGCUUAUCAAAAUACAAUUAGCUCAUGCCAUAAAGUUGUUGCCAGUUGUUGUGUUUGGUAAUAUUUUUGCGCACUGUAGUGAUGUCAUGGUAUUAAGGAUGGGCAUAAUAUAAGCUUGUUGCACCAAAUGAAAUGUGUGCAUGGUACUAAACAUUGUUAGCUAACGUUAAAAGUUACCCAAGGAAAAUAGGUGUGAUUGGCAUAUCCGAUUUCAAAUAUGAUAUUCUUUGUUGCAACUAUGCAGCCUAGAUUCUAACGAGUUGUGCCACAGUCUACAGCCAUAUUUCUAAUCACAAUUUUGAUUAAAAUGUCAGCAAAUAUCCUAUAGACAUAAACAUGUAAACUUAAUCCAUACUCUAUCUUCAGAUGUAAUAUGUGUGUGUGUUAGAAUACUGUAAUAUGUAGUUUAGUUAUAAAUUCUAUACUGAUUUUUUUUUCUCUUUAUCAACAGGUUCUCAAAUACAGUUUAUUAUUUACAAGAAAAUCAGCAGCUAACUACAAAAGGCAUUUUUAAAAGCCACGUUUGUAUUGUCUUUCUCUCUGUUCUCAUUUUUGUAUUGUUCUCUCUCACUCUCUCUCCUCUCCUCUCUUAGUACUGUGUUUGUCCUUGUGCACUUUUGUUUGUUGUGCAUCAUGUCAGAUCCUAACCAGCUCUCUUCAGCCAGGCAGAAGACAUGGAUGCACUCCAAAGGCUGCAUGAGAUCGUCAACAAGCAACAGGAGGCAGCAUCAGCCAUUCAGCCAUCCACCAGCCAGCCAUUUGUGAAGUGGAUUAAGAGGGAUAGCGAAGGGAACAUUAUUUAUGGGAGGCCAAGAUCCUCCAGAAAACAAGCAGCAGGCGUUGGCCACAGACAAACUGGAAAGACUGGUGGUUCCCUUCUCAGGGCUCCGGAAACCAGUGUGGAAAUGACCUGUGACUUUUCUCACGUAAACGCUGAGUCUUUCCUUCAAGAGCUCAGUUGCUCACUGGGUGAAGACUUAGAUGACAACGAAACACCACCACAAGCCUCCAGUGAUUGUUCAUUAAGAAAAAGUCUUGUUUCCGAGUGGUGGCCGAAAGUGAGGCCCCGGUUGGUGGACAACAUGGUGGCUAAGCAGCAUGUGGCCAGUCCAGUCUGCCAGAAAUGUGACUCCAGUCCAGCUAUGAUCCACUGUUGUGACUGUGUUGUUUUUCUGUGCCCGUUGUGACAUCAACUUCCACAAGGCUCAAGUCUUCCACAACAGGGACUCAAUUAGAGAAGGCUUCUUUCAGCCGUUGCCACAGACAUCAUGUUUUGUGGAGAAGGUUCUUACCCGGUGUGGUAAGCUGUAGUUUUUGAGUCACUUUUUCUCACUUGUUAAUUCCAGUUAUCUAAAACUAAAUACUGUCACGAGACGCACACAAACGGUAGAUCCAAAAGCAGUGUUUAUUGGGAGAAACCAAAUAUCAUAAUCCAGCCAGGCAAUGGUCAAAAUCCAGGUAAUCAUUCCAAAACAAGAAACACGAACAAAGCAAGGAACCACGAAACCAGGGUGACAUUAAACAAGGACUCCGUAACAAUGACAGAACAACCAGGGUAUUUAUACACAGGUGCAAACAAUGUAAGUGGUGACAGCUGAAUACAAUGAACAGUGAUGAGCAGAUAAGGCUAGUGGGAAAUGUAGUUCUGAAGGGGGUGACAAUAAGGGGAAGUGAGACCUCUAGUGGCCACCCAGGGAGACACAGAACAGACACUGUGACAAAUACAAAAACCUAAAUCAUUUCUGAUCAGACGAUUAAGCCAUGAAGAGUAUCUGGUCUUAAAAAGCUGACAUAGACU